AUUGAACGCUGGCGGUAUGCCUUACACAUGCAAGUCGAACGGUAGAGGGGCAACCCUUGAGAGUGGCGAACGGGUGAGUAAUACAUCGGAACGUGCCCAGUCGUGGGGGAUAACGUAGCGAAAGCUACGCUAAUACCGCAUACGAUCUAUGGAUGAAAGCGGGGGACCGUAAGGCCUCGCGCGAUUGGAGCGGCCGAUGUCAGAUUAGGUAGUUGGUGGGGUAAAGGCUCACCAAGCCAACGAUCUGUAGCUGGUCUGAGAGGACGACCAGCCACACUGGGACUGAGACACGGCCCAGACUCCUACGGGAGGCAGCAGUGGGGAAUUUUGGACAAUGGGCGCAAGCCUGAUCCAGCAAUGCCGCGUGCAUGAAGAAGGCCUUCGGGCUGUAAACUGCUUUUGUACGGAACGAAAAGGUUUGGGUUAAUACCCUGGGCCGAUGACGGUACCGUAAGAAUAAGCACCGGCUAACUACGUGCCAGCAGCCGCAGUAA
rnacentral:rRNA from 1 species